CUACGGGUGGCUGCAGCUAAGAAUCUUCCGCAAUGGACGAAAGUCUGACGGAGCGACGUCGCGUGGGUGAUGAAGGCGGAAACGUUGUAAAGCCCUUUUAUAGAUGAGGAAUAAGCUUUGGAGGGAAUGCCAGAGUGAUGACGUUAGUCUAUGAAUAAGCCCCGGCGAAUUACGUGCCAGCAGCCGCGGUAACACGUAUGGGGCGAGCGUUGUUCGGAAUUAUUGGGCGUAAAGGGUGCGCAGGCGGUUAUACAAGUCUGGUGUGUAAGACCACAGCUUAACUGGGGGAACGCACUGGAACUGUAUGACUUGAGUAGUGGAAGGGGAGUUGGAAUUCCAGGUGUAGGGGUGAAAUCUGUAGAUAUCUGGAAGAACAUCAGUGGCGAAGGCGAACUCCUGGCCAAUUACUGACGCUGAGGCACGAAAGCGUGGGGAGCGAACAGGAUUAGAUACCCCCGUAGUC
rnacentral:rRNA from 1 species